rnacentral:rRNA from 1 species
CAAUAGCGUAUAUUUAAGUUGUUGCAGUUAAAAAGCUCGUAGUUGGAUUUCGGGUGGGACGCAGCGGUCUCGCAUUGCGUUUGUACUGCUGCAGCCCUCCUUCUUGCCGGGGGCGGCCUCUCGGACUUCACUGUCUGGGGGUCAGAAUCGGCGAUGUUACUUUGAGUAAAUUAGAGUGUUCAAAGCAAGCUUACGCUCUGAAUAUAAUAGCAUGGGAUAACACGACAGGACUCUGGCCUAUCGUGUUGGUCUAUAGGACCAGAGUAAUGAUUAAGAGGGACAGUCGGGGGCAUUCGUAUUCCGUUGUCAGAGGUGAAAUUCUUGGAUUUACGGAAGGCGAACAUCUGCGAAAGCAUUUGCCAAGGAUGUUUUCAUUGA